rnacentral:lncRNA from 10 species
UCCUUGAGUACCGUUGGCCAAGAGGGGGCUCCAUUCAGUCAACUAGGGGCUUGGAAUUUUUUUUUGGCUCACAUAUGGUGCCCGGGCGUACUCACUGCUCUAAGUCAGAGGCCACUGAAGGGCGGCAGAUGCUGGAAGAGGCUCUGCUGUGAUUUUCCCUUUUCUGCCUUAGGGCCGGCCCCACCAUGGGGAAGCGCAGUCACCUUCCACCGCUUCCCUGAAACCCCUUUUCUGCCUUAGGCCGGGCCCCACCAUGGAGAAGCGCAGUCACCUUCCACCCCUUCCCUGAAACCUCAGAAAAGAGGGCAGCAGCAAUGCAGCCUUACCUGGACGGACCUGUGCCCCAGAUAAUGUCUCCUCUGGAGGUCAUUCGAAUUCCAAAGGGAAUCACUUACAAGUUAGUUCCUGUCUCUGGAGUCCCUCCCUUCUCCCCGAAGAUCACUCAUGCCCCAUCAAAAGAACCGUCCACACUCCCCGUCUCCCCUCCCUGAUGAAGAAGGGUACAGGAGCACUGGCCUCCCGGCAGGUUCUCAGGCCAUCGCCCUCCUGCGGCCCCACCCCACGCGUGGGGAUCAUGUCUCCCCCGGCAGCGGCUGCCGCUGCCUCCCUGGACAGGCUUCCUGGCCCUCCAUCUCCGCUCUCAGCCAACUCAUUGUGCCCCUCUCUGAGCCUCGGUUUCCUCACCUCUGAAAUAAGCUCUGUGCCCAUCUCGAAGGGUAACUGAGGAGAUCAGUGAGGGAAUGUGGGUGAUGGCCUUAGCAUAGGGCUUGGCACACUGUCCUGGUUGGGACCCUCCCAGUGAAUCCCAAAGCAAGCUGACAUCUAGCUGUCAGAGAGGAGACCAUUCCUUAUAUUGUCUUAUACUUAAUUUCUUGUUUGCUGAAAAAGUAGAAGUUAGAAUUGGCAGAAGUGAAAAAUCACAGACAACUGGGGACCACAUUUCAGACCUGGUGUUAAAAUUCAACCUCUGACCUCAGGGCUUGUGCUAUCUAUGGAUUCAGACAUUGUGUAAAAAAGCAUCAUGAAACUCCCUGUUCUGUUCUGUUUCGUUCUGAUCAUUGGUGCAUGCAGCCCCCAGUCACAUACCCCUUGCUUGCUCAAUAGAUCACGACCCCCGCCCCCACAGCCCCUUUAGAGUUGUGAGCCCUUAAAAGGGACAGGAAUCACUUAUUCGGAGAGCUCGGUUUCUAGGACGUGAGUCUGCCGACGAUCCCAGCUGAAUAAAGCUCUUUCCUUCCACAAUCCAGUGUCUGAGGAAUUUUGUCUAUGACUCCUCCUGCUACAGCUGGAGGGAAACUCUCUUCCUUCCUAGCCCCAGUUGUCUCUUUGUAACUAUGAUAGUUUGCUGCCGAUGGACACGGCAAGUCUGUAUGCUGAGAUGCUGGGUUGCAGCAAAGAAGGGGUUAAUCAUAGGGUCACUAAAGAAGUUGCUGGGAGGGAACCUCAAAUCCAUC